GGGCAGUUAGCUCAGUUGGGAGAGCAUCGCCCUUACACGGCGAGGGUCACAGGUUCAAGUCCUGUACUGCCCACCA
rnacentral:tRNA from 1 species